UGAAUAUCUAAAAUUUUAUUCAAAAUUUACUUUUAAAAAAUCGCCAUCCAGAGAUUUUAUACAGAUAUUCAGAAAGACAGCACUAAUUAUUACAUAACCUAGAAUAAACAGAAUAUUUCCAAAAUAGUGAGGUCAAAUAAACUUUCCAAAUUCCUACUUAUGCCUUUACAAAUGCAUUGGAAAUAAUUUCACUGAUAAAAGUAAUCUAAUCAUUUUUGUAAUACCAGUUAAAAUUUCAAAAACUCCAUUAUCACAGCCCAAAUUUCACUAACUCAUAUAUAUUUACUUUGUCAACCCCCAAUAUAAAAAUAUAGCUACGAUGCACAAUAGAGAAAAUGAAGAGUUCUCACCAGGUGUUUCCAACAGGAAAAAACAAAUCUGCUUUUUCCCCCCAUGGAAAAAUACACGAACAAGAUAACCAUAUUAAACUAAGGAAUGGUAAAAAGUUCUGCAUAAGUAAUUCCAAACUCCCCAUGUAACAUACUAAUCACAUUUCAAAGACAGUAAUAUUUCCUCAUCAAAAAUGUUUCUAGCAGAGAUUUAUCAUCUUUUGAAAUGUCAUACAAAAUUUAUCCCUUAAUAAUCACACAACUAACUUCAUAGUUCAUGGGGAGAGCAAUUUAUUAAAAAAGAGAUAUUCAUUAACAUACUUGGAAACUUCAGAUGAUUUUUUUUCUUUUAUCUAAAGAUCUAAUCUUGAUAUAAAUUAGAUAAAUAUUCUAGAUAGAUAUGUACUCUAGUUAUAUACUCUGGCAAAUACCACACCAAGGUAAAACAGUAAGUCUGGAAAUUUAAAAUGUCCAAAUAUUUCUUUCACAGCUCAUAUUGGUGUUUUAUUAUUGUCUUACCUCAAUGAUUUUGUCAUGAAUCUCCAGGCCAUCUGCUCUGUCAGCAGGUCCAUUUUCCAAAAUUUUUGAAACAUAAAUUCCUUCCGCUGAUGUUUCUUCCUUAUUAUUCUAUAAAAAGUAUAACCAUUAGCAGUAAGAAAGAUGUAAGCAAAAUUUUAGUUGGAUAAAGGACAAUUUAGUAAAUGUAAUAUUGCCAAUCCUCCCUAAACAUGCAUCUCUCUCUAGUAGCUGGGGAUUUGGCACUGAAUUUUAACUUCCUUAAUACCAAAUAGUCAUUAAUCAAGAUGGCAGCUUUAAUGAAUGAGUCCAGCAUCUCUGACAAGAUUAUCCAUUUACUUCAUGUUUUUGAAUAUACAUAAAAAGCUAUGAGGAAAGGGUAUGUACAAGGUGAUAUUGACUGGCUCUGAAGUAUUAUUUAUGAAAUAUCUUACUUCUAAAGAGAUGGAGUAAUUAAAAAGGGUUACAAGAAAACAAAAAAGUAUAUCCAGCCUCACAAUAUAUUUGGUCUGAGAUAUGGUCAUAGUUUUGAAAAUACAAUUUGGCCUCAUGAUAUGACAGAUUUGGAAAUAUAGUUCUGACUGUAUUCACAGGGGAGACUAGGAGCUUGCUCAAGUGUAAAAUCCCCAAAGAUCAACUGUAACUGCAAGAGAACCCAUUCAAGGCUAAUCGGUACACAUUUCCAGGUGCAAUGAGCCUAAUGAUUAAACCUCAACCAUAUAACUGAUAUAAUACAAAUAGGACCUUUUAGCCAGUCAUGGGAAAACAAUAAUAUUGCAAAACUUAUCUAGGUAAAAUGCCCAACAUACUAUAAUAAUAAUUUCAAAUGUCAUUUUACUUCAUGGUAGUUUAAAUACAAUUAUUUCUCCUUAAUUAACCUUCGUUAACAUGAAUCUGAAGAGCCUCUUAAAAAUGUCCAGUGUGCUCUAAAUGUCAAACACCUGAGUAGCAUUUUAUAAAAAUAUUCCUUAGGGGAAAAGAAAACAAAAAAGAUACGAUGAGAAGACUUCUAUCUUUUCAUAAUAAAUAGAGACUGUUCUAGAAACAGAAGCACAGCAGUCAUUAGUUGCUAGGUUUUCAAAAUACUAAACAGUAAGGGGGAAAUAUGUCAUUGCCAUCCUGACCUAAACACAGCAUAUGGCCAACAACUCUAAGACAGUUUCCUUGGACAACAUCUGCAAUGCAAGAUGCAAGAAUUUCACGGCAGUUUAUUAAGAAAAUUAAAGAACAUGCUUCUUUUUUAUUUUAACUUUACCACUUUGUUCUAGUUAUGUUGAAAAUUAAAUUGAUGUAGUAUUUGAAGGAUAUAAAAGAACUCUGCAACUACAGUAACUGGCUUAAGUUUACAACUCAUGUAUUUUGAAAACAAUUGGCAUCAAUUAACAAAAUAUUAUUCAUUCAAUUAAAUUAAGGAUUUGAUUUGGGGAGCCAACAAUAUUGCAAAUCAAUUAUCUUUAACAUGGUAUUUCUUAUAUAAUUGUGAAAACAAUUAUUCCUUAUUUCAAUUUAUUUUAACUGUUCAUUCCAUCAACGUGCAUUAUAAACUGCCUGGUCUGUGUUAGCACCUAAACACUAACAAACUGAUUUUAAUAAUUAGAGGGUAUAAUCAGGCAAUAUAGUUAUCUAAUAUUAUCAAGUAGAAAUUGCCUAUUCAUAUUAUUGUGAAAUAGGUUUAAGAAGUUUACCAAUGGGGCUAUACAAUGUAAAUAAAAUGUGAAACAAACUCUCCUUUUUUUCUAAAGUAGGAAAGAGGGACGAAUUUGUUAGCUGUUGGGUUUUUUUGUUGGUUUUUUUUUUUUUUUUCAAAAAAAUGUAAUUAUGUACUGAGAAUCUGCAUUAAGGAAUCUGAUAUUUGAUCAUAAGCAUGCUAUUAAAGAUUAAAUCACUUGUUUUCCUUAUUAAAAUCUACAAAUGAAAGCUGUCUUCUAUUAUUUUACAAGCAAAGAGUGAGUUAUGCAUGAACAAAGUAGGUUACCUGAUUUGGUCGACCUCCUAUAAUAUUGAAUCCCAAUGUGUCAUUUUCUCUUUCUAACACAAUGGUGAAUGGCUUAUGUUCUCCAUCCUAGACAAAAAGAGAUAAAAUAGUUUAAAAAAAAAAAAAAGUAAAGAAAAAAUAAAUGCU
rnacentral:lncRNA from 1 species